CUUGCAAGUGUAAUUAAUUCCAAGCUUGAACGUUCCAUUUCCCAUCUUAAGGGAAUUCCAAUCUUGGUAUUGCUGAAUAGAAACAAUAGAUGUAGCACGCAAAAUUAGUUCUUGUGCUUUCAAUCAUCUGCCUCUUCCUCAGUUCUACAGUUGCUCCAGCGAUGGAGGAGGCGGCAGUGGUGGUGGAGGUACGGUAACCUGCAACGGUGGCCAAACCAGUGGUGUACCCAAUGCGGUGCGCCUCAUAAACAGCAGCCCCUUCAUCUCUUUUGUAUGGCGGCGUUUAGUUAUGUUAUAUUUGGCUUACGCUUCAUUUUUUCAUUUGCCCCGCCACUUUAAUUGAUCACUUGGUUAUGUACAAAAAUGCAAGACAAGUAAUAAAUUUGUAUUCGUGUGUUAAAUAUUGAUUGGAAGAUGAUUUAUUUUUCAUUUAAUGAGAGGUGCAAUUGGGUUGGCAUAA
rnacentral:lncRNA from 1 species